UCCAGUUUCACCUUCUUUUUCUUCUAAUUACUUGUAUUUGACUCUUCCUCUCUAAUCCCACAGGCAUGGCCUUCAUCCAGACUCCUAUUCCACCAAAGCCAUCGUUUCUGCUGGGACCCAGUCCCUAAAAUGUCCUACUCUGAUGCAAAAAGGAAAAAGACUAGCAAAACUUAAACUUGAGAGCAGUGCCUGGGACUUAUAUACAGUCAGUAAAUCUUGGAAGAUACAAAAUUUUUAAAAGUCCGAGUCUAACCCGCUUCAUGCAUGCUGGAUUUGCCCUUCAUGAAACCAGCUGGAUUACAUCAUCUCCUAACCUCUCUGCAAUUAGCAGCAUCCAUGUUCUUGAGUUCCUACCGAUGAAUGUGUGCAGAAUAGAUGUAUGUGUUUGCUACCUCCAGGCCUGGCCUAUAAAAACUUCCCACACAAGUCAUCUAUAUUUCCUCCUUCCUUUUUUUCUGGCCGGAUGCUAAGCAUGCAGUGGAGAAAUCCAAGGUUCCAAGGAAUAGUGAAGUUGCAAGAAUCUAGAUGGAAGGUGCCUGAACCCCUGAAUGACUUCAUGGAGCAGAGCAACCCUCUUCUCCCUGGUACUUUGCUCUAGCACCUACAAUAGAC
rnacentral:lncRNA from 1 species